rnacentral:rRNA from 1 species
GAUUAGAUUCCCCACUAUGCCUAGCCAUAACAAAACAAUUAAAUUACCAAUUGUUCGCCAAAUAACUACGAGUAAAGACUUAAAAUUUAAAAGACUUGACGGUACCUCACAACACCCUAGAGGAGCCUGUCCAAUAACCGAUACUCCACGAUUAACCCAACCCCCCCUUGCCAACAGUCUAUAUUCCGCCGUCGCCAGCAUACCUUGUGAAAGAAACAAAGUAAGCAAAAUAGCCACACACUAUCACGACAGGUCGAGGUGUAACUAAUGGGGGGGAUAAAGAUGGGCUACAUUUUCUAACACAGAACACACGAAUUAAACUAUGAAAAAGAAACUGAAGGCGGAUUUAGCAGUACACAAAGGACAAAAUACUAAGUAGAAACCUAUGCAAUGAGGUGCGUACACACCGCCCGUCAUCCCUGUCAACUCUAUACAAACAUAUAUAAACUA